UACGUAGGGUGCAAGCGUUAUCCGGAAUUAUUGGGCGUAAGGCGCGUGUAGGCGGCUUUGCAAGUCGGGUGUGAAAGCCCUCAGCUUAACUGAGGAAGUGCGCCCGAAACUGCUUGGCUUGAGUACCGGGGAGGAUGGCGGAAUUCCCCAAGUAGAGGUGAAAUUCGUAGAUAUGGGGAGGAACACCGGUGGCGAAGGCGGCCAUCUGGACGGAUACUGACGCUGAGACGCGAAAGCGUGGGUAGCAAACAGG
rnacentral:rRNA from 1 species